CAGCCGCCGCGGGAACACGAAGGGGGCUAGCGUUGUUCGGAUUUACUGGGCGUAAAGCGCACGUAGGCGGACUUUUAAGUCAGGGGUGAAAUCCCGGGGCUCAACCCCGGAACUGCCUUUGAUACUGGAAGUCUUGAGUAUGGUAGAGGUGAGUGGAAUUCCGAGUGUAGAGGUGAAAUUCGUAGAUAUUCGGAGGAACACCAGUGGCGAAGGCGGCUCACUGGACCAUUACUGACGCUGAGGUGCGAAAGCGUGGGGAGCAAACAGGAUUAGAUACCCGUGUAGUCCCUGUCUCUUAUAC
rnacentral:rRNA from 1 species